rnacentral:rRNA from 1 species
UACGAGUGGUGCAAGCAUUAAUCGGAUUUAUUGGGCGUAAAGGGCGCGUAGGCGGAGAUAAUAGUCAGAUGUGAAAUCCUGGGGCUCAACCUCAGAACUGCAUUUGAAACUGUAUCUCUAGAGGGUAGGAGGAGAAAACGGAAUUCCACAAGUAGCGGUGAAAUGCGUAGGUAUGUGGAAGAACACCGGUGGCGAAGGCGGUUUUCUAUCUUAUUCCUGACGCUAAGGCGCGAAAGCAAGGGGAUCAAACAGG